CUUCAGCUCCUGUGUGGUGGCCUGAUAUUCAGUCUGUGAGCUGGGAGCCUGUUGGCAGGUCCCUCUUUUUAUUUUCGCUGAGAGCUUUCUUUUACUAAAUGCCACCAUCCUUACCUUUCAAGGUGUCUGCGUGCCUAAUUUUUCCUGGUUGUUAGACAAGAACCCGGAUUUUAGUUGAACUCUGGAGCAAAAAUCCUGCAUCAUUUGUAGUUCUUUUACAGGAAGCUUUUGUUACGUGUUGUCAGCACAUUGCUGUGAUGCUCAAGUAUAGCUCUUUAAUGUGAAAACCUGGUAUUUGGGCAUGGCUUGAAGCAGGUGGGUGUCAUUGUGACUGGCUGCUACCUCCCCAUGAGUCUUCUAAAAUAAAACCUGCAAAUUCACAUCUUCCCCAUGCUUCCAGAGAAUGCAUAUUCUUCCUUUGAAAAAAGAAAACCAGGUAGUCGUACAGUGUCCAGAAGGCAAAAGGACAAGUAUGCACUGCCCUACUUACCUACUUUCCACACUGCUGCACAGGAAAAUCUGACAGAGGACAAUAACAAACAUCUCACCAGCUCAUGCGUUCUUUUUUGAUCCUAAUUCCGAGAGACUCACCAAAGACAUGAAGAGAAAACAAACAAUACUUUUCUUGGAAAUAUUGUAAUUGCUGGUACAUUUGUUGUUCUGGCAUAAAGUAGAAAUUGUCAGUUACCAGAACAAUACUCAGUGAACUUAUGAAUAUAUGGUAAAUAUUAAACACAUCCCACUUGGAUGAGAAGAUAUGUGAGUCGAUGAGUAUAGCUAAGUCUAAAGUUAGAUGUGUUCCAUAAACAUAGUGUUUAUGGAGUUGGUGCAUAUUCAC
rnacentral:lncRNA from 1 species